rnacentral:lncRNA from 11 species
UUAAAAUCCUAAUCCUGACGGCGAUGACGGGGGCCGAGCGAGAUGAACGAGAGGGCUUGUGAGGACACCGCCGGGGGAGUUGACAUGCAUGGAUCUGCUCCAAGCCAAAGGAGGAGGAGAGGCAGAAGCAAUGAAAGGAGAGCAAAGGACGGUGGCAAUGCACCUUUUCAUGUCUUGUGCAUGUCUCAGGGUAUUUAGAAUACAUCCUUCAAAGGCUUAACUUCUCAGCGGAAAAACUAUGGGAGUUGUAGUUUGCAAAAGUAAUAUUUGGACAAGGAGUGGGAGAUGCAACUGAGAGGGUUCUAGCUUUUAUAGUUAGGACAGAGAACUUGAAACCAUGCCGGGAAUGUGUGCAAAAACAUGCCAGCAUUUCCAAACAGGGUGUAAUAAUAGCUCUGUACAUUCUGAUCGUGUUUUUGCUGUUGCCUUCUUUCUUUCUCUCUCUUUCUUUCUUUCUUUCAUUCCCUCUUUUUGUUGCUCAACCUUAAGCAAAUACAGACUGGAGAUCUCAGAUGACACAUGACCUUCUCGGGAAACAUCUUAGCAACUGCCGUCGGGAACCACGCUUCGGAAAUGGCAGAGCGAGUCCGACUGGUCCCGAGACGGUGUCCUGGUUCCUAUCGUUCCAAACAACCCUUAGGAAGGUGAACCCUCUCCGCAUACCUGGAUGAGUCAAAGGCCAAGGUCCGUCGAUAAGAGCGAUGUAGCCCGAGAGGAAGGUGACGAUCAGACCGUGCAUCAGCGUGAUCAACCUGACGGUCCAUUCUGGAGUGCGGCUCUUGUUCCAGGACCGGAUAGCAACGUAGAAGGAGAGCCAGAGGAGGAAGCUGCACACCACCCUGGCAACGAUGGCGAACAUCCUUUCAGCCCUGAAAGCGCAGAGAAGAACACAGCUGUUGUAUGAAUUAACGGAACCAGUUAAAGAAAGAACAACGCAGUGCAUGGGCAUUUUGCUCCUGGAACUUAGAGGAUUUUGCGUGGACUACAACUCCCAGUGUCCUGUAGAUGAUAUGGCUAGUGGGAUACGGUCAUGUUGGCUGGAGAAUAAUGUAAGUUUUAAUUCCACAAGUUUAUCAUUUCCAAGCUCUGCAUGAUUUUUUUUUUUAAAUCGUGUCAGAAGCGACUUGAGAAUGUACUGCAAGUCGCUACUGGUGUGAGUGAAUUGGCCGUCUACAGAGAAUGUCAAAGGCUUUCCUGACCGGAAUCACUGGGUGGCUAUGAGUCUUUCAGGCUGUAUGGCCAUGUUCCAGAAGCUUUCUCUCCUGACAUUUUGCCCACAUCUGUGGCAGGAUGGUGCUCAUCUCCAUUUCUAAGCCAAAGAGCAGGCGUUGUCCACAAACACCUCCAAGGUCAUGUGGCCGGCAUGGAGCGCCAUUAUCUUCCAGCAGGAGCGGUACCUAUUGAUCUACUCACAUUUGCCUGUUUUCGAACUGCUAGGUUGGCAGAAGCUGGGGCUAACAAUGGGAGCUCACCCCGCUCCCUGGAUACAAACUACCAACCUUUUGGUCAGCAAUUUCAGCAGCUCAGUGGUUUAACCCACUGAAAAUGGUAAAUAUGAGGUUUCUUUCUUUUAAGAAGUGGCCAAAAUAAUGUGUUGUUGAAGGCUUUCAUGGCCGGAAUCACUGGGAUGCUGUGAGUUUUCCAGGCUAUAUGGCCAUGUUCCAGAAGCAUUCUCUCCUGACGUUUCGCCCACAUCCGUGGCAGGCAUCCUCAGAGGUUGUGAGGUCUGUCGGAAACUAGGCAAGUGGGGUUUUAUAUAUCCGUCGAAUGUCCAGGGUGGGAGAAAGAACUUUUUGUUUGUUUGAGACAAAUGUGAAUGUUGCAAUUGGCCAGCUUGAUUAGCAUUGAAUAGCCUUGCAAGCUUCAAAGCCUGGCUGCUUCCUGCCUGAGGGAAUCCUCAGGCGAAACAUCAGGAGAGAAUGCUUCUGGAACAUGGCCAUACAGCCUGGAAAACGCUCAGCAAACCCAUUGGCUGGAAUGGUCAUCCUGUUAUGGUCAGAAAGCAAAGACUUUUCUAUCCCAAUAACUGAGGAGAUGAAGGCCAUUAAAGGAAUGGCUUUUAACUGUCCUGUUUCAUUGUUACUGUUUCUUCACUGCCUUUAUAAAUGUUAAUUAUAUGCUGCACAUUGCUUUGGGUGUCGUUCAUCAUUUGAUUCUAUUUUAAUAUAUAUUUUUAACUGUCAUGGUUUUGCUUUAAUGAGUAAACCACUUUGAGUCCUGUUCUUUGAGCAGAAAUGGUUAGGUAUAAAUAAAGAUACCGUAUAUACGCGAGUAUAAGCCGACCUGAAUAUAAGCCGAGGCUCCUAAUUUUACCACAAAAACUGGGAAAACUUAUUGACUCGAGUAUAAGACGAGGGUGGGAAAUGCAGCAGCUAUGGGUCAAGUUCAAAAAUAAAAAUAGAUACAGUAGAGUCUCACUUAUCCAAGCUAAAGGGGCCGGCAGAAGCUUGGAUAAGCGAAUAUCUUGGAUAAUAAGGAGAGAUUAAGGAAAAGCCUAUUAAACAUCAAAUUAGGUUAUGAUUUUAUAAAUUAAGUACCAAAACAUCAUGUUAUACAACAAAUUUGACAGAAAAAGUAGUUCAAUACGCAGUAAUGCUAAGUAGUAAUUACUGUAUUUAUGAAUUUAGCACCAAAAUAUCACGAUAUAUUGAAAACAUUGACUACAAAAAUGCAUUGGAUAAUCCAGAACAUUGGAUAAGCGAGGCUUGGAUAAGUGAGACUCUACUGUAUUAAUAAAAUUGCAUUAUUAGAGGGCUCAGUAGGUUAAAUGUUUUUGAAUAUUUAUAUAAAACUGUAAUUUAAGAUAAUAAUAAGACUUUAAUAAGAUAAGACUGUCCCACUCUGAAUACCUAUAUACUCAAGUAUAAGCCGACCUGAAUAUAAGCCGUCCAGGACCCUCACUUGAGUAUAAGCCAAGGGGAGCUUUUUCAGCCCUAAAAAAGGGCUGAAAUACUAGGCUUAUAUACAGUAAUACUAAUACUAUUAUCCUUUGUCCUUUUCUUCUUUUUCUUCAGGGAAACUGACCAGUCAAGUUUCCAAAACAAGGACCAGGGCCUCAGUUGUCACAAUGGUUCUCAAACUUUGGAAACUUUGUUUUAGGGCUUCAGCUCUCAGAAUUCCUGAUUGUUGGCCAAGCUGGCUGCAACUUCUGGGUGUUGAAGUCUAAAAUAUUUGGAGGAUCAACGUUUGGGAAUGGUUGAUGUAAAGGGAUGCCUUUUUAAAGAGCUGCGUAAUGAGACCAGUGACGGGGAACAUCUCAUGCUGAGUUGAUUUCGCAGUCAACUGAUCUCAUCCAUCACCUGAAUGACAGACGGAGAUGACUGAUGGGAAGAUUGUGCUUCUGAUGCAUACAUCCUGCUAUGGACAUGUAUGUAGGACAGUCAUCAUAACCAAAUCCCUGGAACUGAAUUGAACAAAUCCAAUUUUUGUUCCUGGGUUAUAACUGUAAUUUUCUAAUUGGUUCUAUCUUAAAAACAUUGGAAAAUUAUUAUUAUUAUUAUUAUUAUUAUUAUUAUUAUUAUUAUUAAACUUUAUUUAUAUUCCACCCUAUCUCCCCUGUAAAAACUUCGUAUUUGUGGAUCAUCUUGCAGCACAUUUUGCCCUAUUCUUCCAAUGAAUAUUUCAGGUUAUGGAUAUCUUUAAUAUGGUGCUUGUUGUAAUUUUUAAAUUUGUUUUAUUUGAUAUCUUAAUUGGAUUUUAAUCAGGAUAUGAUUUUUUAAUUGAUUAUGUAUUGCUGUUCAAUGUAUUUGCAUGGAUUUUAUAUGUUGUACGCCGCUUUGAAUCCCACCCACGGGAGAAAAGCGGGAUAGAAAUAAAAUAAUUAUAAUAAUAACAACAACAACAACAACAAUAAUAAUAACAAUAAUUGAGCCUCAACCCAUUCAACUUAAUUUGUGGCAUCCACAAACAUGAAACUUCUGGAGUAUAACAACUACUUUCAAAGUAAGCACCACACAAUUCAACAAGAAUAACACUUUCAAACCAGGAACAGAUUUUUUUUUUCAAAUUUUGUUACAUAGUGUUUUAAAUUUUCAUUGAUAUUAUUACUGUUAUAUUAACUCUUGUUUUUUUUGCCUUAUUGUGUUUUAUCUUUUGUAUAUUGUGUAAUGUAUUUAUGCUGAUCGGGCUUUGCCCCAUGUGAGCCGCCCCGAG